GCAAGUCGAGCGAAUGGAUUGAGAGCUUGCUCUCAAGAAGUUAGCGGCGGACGGGUGAGUAACACGUGGGUAACCUGCCCAUAAGACUGGGAUAACUCCGGGAAACCGGGGCUAAUACCGGAUAACAUUUUGAACUGCAUGGUUCGAAAUUGAAAGGCGGCUUCGGCUGUCACUUAUGGAUGGACCCGCGUCGCAUUAGCUAGUUGGUGAGGUAACGGCUCACCAAGGCAACGAUGCGUAGCCGACCUGAGAGGGUGAUC
rnacentral:rRNA from 1 species